rnacentral:tRNA from 1 species
UAUCUUAUUAGUAUAAGCAUAAUUACAUUUAAUUUCCAAUUAAAAAAUUUUUAAAAAAUAAGCUAA